UACGUCUGUAGUCAGCACUUCAUUACAGGUAUGACAACGUUAUUCACACAAUAACAGUGUUAAAUUGUUUCGUAGUUAACAUGAAUGUUCAAUUACUAGUUUUAAGAGAAGUUAACUAACUACUACGUUAUGCAGGCUACCUUGCUUGAGUAUACAAAAACACAGCUAUGCUAACAACACUGGUGGUAGCUUCCGAGCUUUCUGCAGUUAAAAUGUAUUUCACCCCCUUCUAUCCCCUUCUCAUUUCGUUUGUGAACUGUCUUGCCCUAGGCUUAAAAAACGAGGACAUAGCCCACCCAGACUACACACCCUCGCUGUUCCCACAUAAAAAGACAAAGUCUCCCAGGUCAGUACUUCAGAGACUGGAGAGAAGGAGGAAGCGUGAGGGUGUUCAGUCUGCCCAACCAGAAUCCCCAACAUCAGAAGGCCCGGCACCAGAAUCCCCAACAUCAGAAGCUCCCAUACCUCUUCAGGAGUUAAAGAGAAAACAACUUUAUGAAGAAUUGUAUAAUUUAAGAAGAGAAAGAGAUGAGGCCAUGAAGGAGCGAGCUGAAGCCAUCAGAGAAUUGGAGACGUUGAAAAUGUCGGUAAACACUGAGAGAAAAUGACACCAAAUGUAAAGUCAUGACAGGCCUGUCAUGGACAGUAUUUGACACUCUUCAUCAGUACCUGGUACAGUUUGUUAAGUCACAGAAAACAUCCAAGAUGUCAACACAAGACCAGCUCUUUAUUACUCUGGUGAAACUGCGGCAGAACCCCUCAACCGAUAUGAUGUGUGGAAUAUUUGACCUGGCACAUAGAUAUAGCACUUUCCUGGAUGUAUUCUCCCGAUGGUUGGAUUUUAUGUACGCCAACAUUUCUUUUUUGAUUAAAUGGCCUGAUAGAGUGUAUCGGAAGCACAGUACCAGCAGAGGUUCUCUUCCAGUACCCUAGAGUGACUGCAAUUAUCGACUGCUUUGAGAUCAGAAUUGAACACUCAAAGAAGCUGAAAACAAGAGCUAUCACCUACUCAAAAUACAAAAACUGGACAACAGUGAAGUAUUUCAUUGCAUGUCACCCAUCUGGCUCAAUCACAUAUCUCUCCAAAGGCUGGGGAGGGAGGGCUUCAGAUGUGCAUAUUGUAAGGAACUCAGACUUCUUAUCUCAGAAGUUCCACCAUGCAGGAGAUCAGAUUUUAGCCGACAGGGGCUUCACUUUGAAGGAUGACUUUGCUGUUCUGGGUGCACAGCUCAUCACACCGUCUUUCACGAGGGGCCGAAAACAACUGUCAGCCGAAGAUGUUGCGAUCUGUGGUCUGCAGAGAGAGUCAUUGGGGCCCUGAAGAGCCGGUACCACAUUCUGGAUGGCCCACUUCCUCUGCGCCUGGUGAAGAGACUGCAGGGUGAGAGACAGAAGAGAGAAGAGGCCAUGAUGGAUAGGAUUGUGCAUGUCUGUGCAGCACUAAUGAACCUGUCUGGCAGUGUCAUGUACAACCGUUACAGAAUCUGAGAGUCCCUGAACUGAUCUCAGUGCUGCUCUGCUGCUGCACACCCUGUCGCCCUGCCUCUGAUGCCUGUCGCCCUGCCUCUGAUGCCUGUCGCCCUGCCUCUGAUGCCUGACGCUCUGCCUCUGAUGCCUGACGCUCUGCCUCUG